rnacentral:rRNA from 1 species
UACACGCUGUGACUAGCAUAUCAAUAAGCGGAGGAAAAGAAACUAACAAGGAUUCCCCUAGUAACGGCGAGUGAAGCGGGAAGAGCUCAAAUUUGAAAUCUUAAAGGGUUUCCCUUUACGAAUUGUAGUUUAAAGAAGUGUUUUCUGUUGAGGUUUUGGUAAAAGUUCUUUGGAAUAGGACAUCAUAGAGGGUGAGAAUCCCGUAUUUGACCUUUACUUUCAACUUUGUGAUACACUUUCAAAGAGUCGGAUUGUUUGGGAAUGCAGUCCAAAAUGGGUGGUAAAUUUCAUCUAAAGCUAAAUAUUGGCGAGAGACUGAUAGCGAACAAGUACCGUGAGGGAAAGAUGAAAAGAACUUUGAAAAGAGAGUUAAACAGUACGUGAAAUUGUCAAAAGGGAAGCGUUUGACACCAGUGUUGUUUUUCUGAAAAUCAAUUAAAGAACUGUUUAUGCUAAGUUGUUUAGACUUUAUCAGCUAACUGUUUAGUUUUGAGCUUUUCUUUAAUGCACUUUUCAGUUAACAAGUCAACAUCAAUUUCUUUUGCUGUAAAAAAGCUUGAGGAAGGUGGCUUGAGAUUCGUCUUAAGUGUUUAUAGCCUCUUGCCUAUGCAGUCGGAGAGAUUGAGGUCUGCAGCGUAGAUCCUUCGGGGCUAAAUGCAUUUGUGCUAAGUUAUAACAUUUUAUAGACAACUUGUUGACUAUGAUUUGUCUUGUAGCUUACUCGCUUAUGUUAUUUUACCUACGCUUAGGAUGUUGACGCGCGUGUGUGCGUG